rnacentral:rRNA from 1 species
AGGAUAAACGCUGGCGGCGUGCCUAACACAUGCAAGUCGAACGUCUCUUCUUUCGGGAAGAGGAGUGGCGGACGGGUGAGGAACACGUGGGAACCUGCCCUUCAGUGAGGAAUACCGGCGAGAAAUCGCCGACAAGACCGCAUAGCCCUCUCUGGUGAGAGCCAGAGAAGGAAAGCCUCGCAAGAGGCGCUGGAGGAGGGGCCUGCGUCCGAUUAGCUAGUUGGUGGGGUAAGAGCCUACCAAGGCGUCGAUCGGUAGCUGGUCUGAGAGGACGAUCAGCCACACUGGGAUUGAGAACGGCCCAGACUCCUACGGGGGGCAGCAGUGAGGAAUUUUCGGCAAUGGGGGAAACCCUGACCGAGCAACGCCGCGUGCAGGAAGACGGCCUUCGGGUUGUAAACUGCUUUUCUUUGGACGUAGCAAGGACGGUACCAGAGGAAUCAGCCCGGCUCACUACGCGCCAGCAGCCGC